rnacentral:tRNA from 1 species
GCGGGCGUCGUCCAGCGGUAGGACAUCAGCUUCCCAAGCUGAGGGUCGCGGGUUCGAAUCCCGUCGCCCGCUCCA